GGAAGCAUGGGUGAGCGGCCGAAACCAGCCCCCUGCUAAGGGGCCGAGCCUCAAAAAGGCUCCGAAAGUUCGAAUUGCAAAUCGGCGAAGACCGCUGUAAUAGACUCAAUCUGAGCCAAUCUUUCUGCUUCCG
rnacentral:tRNA from 1 species